GAUGUUAGCGGCGGACGGGUGAGUAACACGUGGGUAACCUGCCUGUAAGACUGGGAUAACUCCGGGAAACCGGGGCUAAUACCGGAUGGUUGUUUGAACCGCAUGGUUCAAACAUAAAAGGUGGCUUCGGCUACCACUUACAGAUGGACCCGCGGCGCAUUAGCUAGUUGGUGAGGUAACGGCUCACCAAGGCAACGAUGCGUAGCCGACCUGAGAGGGUGAUCGGCCACACUGGGACUGAGACACGGCCCAGACUCCUACGGGAGGCAGCAGUAGGGAAUCUUCCGCAAUGGACGAAAGUCUGACGGAGCAACGCCGCGUGAGUGAUGAAGGUUUUCGGAUCGUAAAGCUCUGUUGUUAGGGAAGAACAAGUACCGUUCGAAUAGGGCGGUACCUUGACGGUACCUAACCAGAAAGCCACGGCUAACUACGUGCCAGCAGCCGCGGUAAUACGUAGGUGGCAAGCGUUGUCCGGAAUUAUUGGGCGUAAAGGGCUCGCAGGCGGUUUCUUAAGUCUGAUGUGAAAGCCCCCGGCUCAACCGGGGAGGGUCAUUGGAAACUGGGGAACUUGAGUGCAGAAGAGGAGAGUGGAAUUCCACGUGUAGCGGUGAAAUGCGUAGAGAUGUGGAGGAACACCAGUGGCGAAGGCGACUCUCUGGUCUGUAACUGACGCUGAGGAGCGAAAGCGUGGGGAGCGAACAGGAUUAGAUACCCUGGUAGUCCACGCCGUAAACGAUGAGUGCUAAGUGUU
rnacentral:rRNA from 2 species